CCCUUAGAUGUCCUGGGCUGCACGCGCGCUGCACUGAUGUGUCCAGUAAGCACCUAACCUCUUCCGAAAGGAACGGGUAACCUUUGCAAAGCACAUCGUGAUGGGGAUAGAUUAUUGCAAUUAUUAGUCUUGAACGAGGAAUUCCUAGUAAGCACAAGUCAUCAGCUUGUGUUGAUUACGUCCCUGCCCUUUGUGCACACCGCCCGUCGCUCCUACCGAUUGAAUGUUCCGGUGAGCUCUUCGGACUGCGCGGUCUGCAGUUUCUGCGUUCCGUGCGGAAAGUUGCGCAAACCUUAACAUUUAGAGGAAGGAGAAGUCGUAACA
rnacentral:rRNA from 1 species